ACACCUCUUCUGCAAACAUCUCUUCUCUUGAUAUGCUUCUGCUCUCUCACUCCUCCGCUCUGUCCAUUGUCAUUUUCUACUUGGUAUUCUUGUAUUAAUUUAGUUCAGUCCUUGGCGAUAUGCUAGGUGUUUGUGUUUUCCCCUGAGUAGCGAGUGAGAGUGAAUUCCCACAGAGAAAGUGUCUCAUUCUUUGGUUGCAAUUUGAGUAAGGGCUGCUGCAAUUCCAAGAGAGAAGGGAGAGACAUGUCUUCAAAUGAAACUGCCAUACAAUGAAUUAGCUCAUGUGCUUCUAUGUUUACUCUGUUGGAUAGAUUGUUCUUGCACAUCCUUGCUUCCCAGUUAUCUAAAUCUCUUUCAUAUCCUCAUUUAUAAGGAAGAACCAAUAGAGAAACAGAGGAUACAAAUUAUUUCAGAAGCUUCUGAGCAUAGCUGUAUUUAAGAAGUACAUCAAUAUCAACUUCGAUGAUAGGUACAUACAGAUGAGAGACCAACCAAAGAUAUUCUGACAUGGAAGCAGAGCAACUAUUAGCGGCUUUUAUGGAAUACAAGAUCAGAGUCCUGCCUUUUUGCCGUGAUAAUUUGAAGAUCACCUUACUUAGAAUUUUGCAUCAAGUACAUCAAUUAUAUCACCUUCUAUGAAUGUGCAGGUAAACAACCUGAUACAGCAGUAUCAUAUUGAAGAUGGGGAUGAAAAGGAAGACAAAAUUUUGGACAGAUAGUUGUAUUGAAACAUGGAUAUUAAAGGAUGAGUUCCCUACUCUUUGUAGUUUAACUCUGAACAAAAAUGCUUAUAUUUGGUGAAUGUUUUGUCAACAUUUAUAGUUUAAGAAAAACUUUAAUGAUAUGCAAAUCCAAGAUAUCAGUCACCUUUCACACUUUUGCAGCCAAUCUCUCUUUGAUGACAGCAGGAUGGACACUCAAACUGGCUUACUAGCAAUAGUGGCUUCUUCUCUAUUAAAAGUUGCUACAAUCUUCUCCAAAAGCUCGAUAGUAACUGGGACAACAAGUGGUCUUAGAAGAUGACAUGGAGGACAGAAACAAUACACCAAAAUACCCUGGUUUGUGUGGAAUGCUGUCGAGGCAGCAUGUCUUAGCCAAGAUAAUUGGCAGAGAAGAGGACUCUCAGUUAUGUGUAAAAACUGACAAAGAAUCCAUCAACCAUUUAAACUUUUUGCUAUUGACUGGGUGAUGCCACAGAAUAUCACAUGCUUACUAUCAGAUUGGCAAGGACAAAGAAUUAAUAAAGUUACGUAUGUGAUGUAAGAGCAUUUUUUUGUAGUGUAGUAUAUUUACGAACAAAACUACAAACAGCUAUUGGAACGCUCAGUAAAAGAAGAGUAUAUUUCCAAUCCUUCAUUAAAUUAUCACAUAUUUCAAUUGCUACAUAAUAUUACACGUGCAUUUACAAUGUCA